rnacentral:rRNA from 1 species
AGGGAAUCUUCCGCAAUGGACGAAACUCUGAUGCAGCAACGCCGCGUGAGUGAUGAAGGUCUUCGGAUUGUAAAGCUCUGUCUUCUGGGACGAUAAUGACGGUACCAGAGGAGGAAGCCACGGCUAACUACGUGCCAGCAGCCGCGGUAAUACGUAGGUGGCAAGCGUUGUCCGGAUUUACUGGGCGUAAAGGAUGUGUAGGCGGCUAUUUAAGUGAGAUGUGAAAUCCCCGGGCUUAACUUGGGGACUGCAUUUCAAACUGGAUGUCUAGAGUGCAGGAGAGGAAAGCAGAAUUCCUAGUGUAGCGGUGAAAUGCGUAGAGAUUAGGAAGAAUACCAGUGGCGAAGGCGGCUUUCUGGACUGUAACUGACGCUGAGGCAUGAAAGCGUGGGGAGCAAAC